rnacentral:rRNA from 1 species
CUAAGGCUCCGGAGGAAGCCACGGCUAACUCUGUGCCAGCAGCCGCGGUAAUACAGAGGCGGCAAGCGUUGUUCGGAAUUAUUGGGCGUAAAGAGCACGUAGGCGGCCUUGCAAGUCAGUUGUGAAAGCCUUCCGCUUAACGGAAGAAUGCCAGCUGAUACUACAGGGCUUGAGUACGGGAGGGGAGAGUGGAACUUCUGGUGGAGCGGUGAAAUGCGUAGAUAUCAGAAGGAACGCCGGCGGCGAAAGCGACUCUCUGGCCCGAAACUGACGCUGAGUGUGCGAAAGCUAGGGGAGCGAACGGGAUUAGAUACCCCGGUAGUCCUUGCCGUAAA